rnacentral:rRNA from 1 species
GACGAACGCUGGCGGCGCGCCUAACACAUGCAAGUCGAGCGGAGAUAUUUGAAGGAAGUUUUCGGAUGGAAUUUGGGUAUUUUAGCGGCGGACGGGUGAGUAACGCGUGAGUGACCUGCCUUCCACAGGGGGAUAACGUACCGAAAGGUACACUAAUACCGCAUGAGACCACAGCACUGCCUGGUGCAGGGGUCAAAGGAGCAAUCCGGUGGAAGAUGGACUCGCGUCCGAUUAGAUAGUUGGUGGGGUAACGGCCUACCAAGUCAGCGAUCGGUAGCCGACCUGAGAGGGUGAUCGGCCACAUUGGAACUGAGAGACGGUCCAAACUCCUACGGGAGGCAGCAGUGGGGAAUAUUGGGCAUGGGGGAAACCCUGACCCAGCGACGCCGCGUGAGGGAAGAAGGUUUUCGGAUUGUAAACCUCUGUUCUUGGUGAAGAGGGAAAGACGGUAGCCAAGGAGGAAGCCCCGGCUAACUACGUGCCAGCCGCCGCUGUAA